rnacentral:lncRNA from 1 species
AUGAAGUACGGUUGCAACCCGUUCUCACUCCCGAGGCGUAAAUUACUGACGAUUUGUCACGUCCCUUAACUUCUCAUGCUGACGCUGAAGGUACCCUUCCACGUUUUUAUGCGACGCUGUGGGUUGUCAAUUCAUUCCAAUAUGAACCCGCUCUCGGCGAUCAGAGACGCUUCGAGCAGAGGCUCCGGCCAUCCAUUUACUCCAAUAAUAACCCCGUCACGGCGAAACGUGACGAACGGGUUUUUCUCCCUAAUUUAAUGCUUUCUUUUAAUGACAUCCUUAACAUUUCUCAACAAAAACACAUGAAAGUAACACUGAUAAUUCAACAAUAAAAUCGCUUCAUUUUCCAAAGUGAUUCACGAUCUGAAAGUGCUCAGAUUUAACGUACAUAAUCCUUGGUUGGGUUUAUUAUUUUUAUUUCACACUUAAAACACAUUUAUAGUUUUAUUCACCACUCCUGUUAGUUUUGGAUGCGCUCGGCUCCAACCAAUCAGACGCAACCUGUGUAAGCAAAGGAUGAUGGGAGAACGGAGAGACCCGUUUAUAAGAAUAAGAAAAGGAGGCGGAAUUGAUUGAUUCUAAUGCAGAUCAGCAUCAAUGUCCACGUGAAGAACCUAGUUAUGUUGCCAGUGUCAACCCAACAAAAGGCACUUUCACAAUAUAUAAAAGAAGUGUAUGGAACUGAGGUGCUUCCUCAGGUUGUUGGAGGAUGGAGAAGAGGACGCAGCCGUGACUUGUGAGAUGGCGUCUGAGUCAGCUACUACUCACUAGGAGAUCAGAAACAUGGUGUCCUUGCAAAAGUGGAAAGAGGCCAGGCCUUGUCUUAUAGACAAAAUGUUAUCUACUCUGGAUCCACAGUCACACCGUGUGUGUCAGUGUGGCAAACAAGUAGUUGUGAGGUGUCUGGACUGCCUGCCUCUUCCAUUCCUUUGUGCUGACUGUGAUAUUGCAGUUCACACACGCUUUGUCCUGCACAACCAAGAGGCAGUAACAGGAGGGUUUUUGCAGCCUUCAUCAGAGUUUCACAAGCCAAUAGUUCGGCUGUUGCCUGUGCAAAGGCCAGACCAUGUGUGUGACUGCCAAGCAGGCCGUUAUAACCUUGCACUGCCAGUGGUGAGCUGCACCACCUGUGACUUAAUGUGGUCCCCCUCAGUUAAGGACAUCCUGGGUAGUGGAUAUUGGCCUGGCACCUUAAAUUUCUGCACCCUGUUUUCAAUGGAUGCCUUUCAGUCUUUCUAUGACAUUAAGAAGGCUGCACCAGGGAUGUCAUGUCACUUAAGGCAUUUGUCAAAAUGCUGGAUGAAAGAACAGCCCAUUUUUGAAGGACUGGCCGAAUAUCAGCUGAUGCCUUCAGUAAAAGCUUUGUGGAGUGGAGUGCUGUUUGAGAUGGACAGGAUGUGCAAGGAGCCAUGCGUUAGCUGCCCUGCCUGCACUCCAGACGUGCUUGCCGUCUCAGUUGAUGGAAACUGGAAGCUUUAUCGCAUUCAAUCAAAUACAAGCACUUCAGAGCAGGCGAACUUUGAAGGUGUCUUCAUUGAGAAAGAUGAGGAAGUUGCUGAGUUUAUGAAAUACAUCCAGAGACACACAAAUGAUCGUCCCAGGACAUAUUACUUUCCUUUGCUCCGAUGUGUCCUGUAA